CUCUGGUGUUGCUGCUGAAGGUCCCUCACCAGCUUCUUAUGCAUCGCCUCCAUAGUAGUGAAACCCUCAUCAUAGGACGCCUGAAUUUAAGUGCAGCAUAGGGCCGAUGCUGCAAAUUCCUGUUCAACUGCUGGAGGCGAGACAACUCCUUCUGCGUUUGCUCCAGCUGCAGAGAUGAGAUGGAGCUGAUGGACGCCUGUCCCUCCUGCCUCAGGGGUGUGGCUUCAACUUGCUGCCUCCUCUGUUCAUUGUGGCCUUUGUCAUAUCCCUCAUCAUUCGGAGGCUCCAGUGUGGAUGCUGAGCUGCUGUCAUCAGCAUCUCCAUCUUCAGACUGGGGGUCUGUAACACCGGGCGAUGUACCAGCCCCACCAGCUGCACAGAAGGACAAACAUAGUAAUUUAGACUCCAGUGUAAAGCAUUACAUAGUAAACCCCCCUG